AUGCAUGAAAUAUUGGAAAAAAAUAAAUCUUUCUAAAAGUUUUGAUCAGAGAUAAGCUUACAGUGCAGAUUAAUUGGUAAUCAAAUCACGGUUCAUUAACGGAAAGCAUAUCAAGGUUAAGGUUGAGGUUAGUAAGAUGGUGGAGACGGAAGCAGCUGUGGCGGGUUGGCUGCAAUAUGUUGAAAUAGCUAGCUAUUAUAUUUAAAAAAAUAUGUCAUAUAUUUUGAGUAUGUAAAAUGCUAGUUAAAGAUUAUAUAUAUGAUAUUAUUAUUAUGCAAUAA